UCCCCAUCCCGGCCGCCGCGAGAGGCGGCCUCGACCCGUCUCCCUCAGGUUCUCUCCGCUCUCACACCCUCCGUGUCCGUCCUCUGGAUUCCGUUUCCCGGGGCCUUGCGCUUAGCGACGCACGCCGCGCGUGCUGGACCGGCGACCGAUAUCGUACAUGUGGCUAGCUCGAUAGGACGCGGAUCCGUUUGUUGGCUUGAAUUCGUGGAUUAUGCCGCUGUUAUUCACGGACUGGGACUGGUGUUAAGACAGACUGUCAGUGCACUGGCAGUGGCAGUGAUGAAGAGCAAGAGCUCUCCGGAUGAAUGAUUUGGAGUGACUCCUACACUAAUUCGUAAACCUAGAUUCCUGAAAUGGCACAUAUCUUCUCUCUGUCUAUCACCAAACUUGCUCUAUCAGUCAAGACUAUGCAUCCAUUUGCCACUUGCUGGCCACAUGUUAAUUCAGCUCCCGCAAUUAAUGUUACCAAAUGAAUAUCUUCUCUGUUUCCCCAAACUCGCUUUAUCAGUCACGGCCGCAUAUCGAUCUGCCACUUUCCUGCCAUAGAUUAAUUCAGCUCCCUGAAAAAAUAAGAAUAGAAAAAAAAAUCAUCAUCGAUUUGGUCGUCUAUUCAUUCUUCAUAAACUUCACAUGCAAUUUCUAGCAUAUGGUGUUCACCCAAGUAAUAAUCUGCUAUUGUUAACCAGGUAUCAUCGAUGAAAAACAUGGGUCGUUUUCGCGUACUCUUCUUCAGGAUAAGCCUGAGAUCACGGAAGAAAUGAUUCGUGGGUAUAUGAGCAAUUCUGAACUUGAGACUGCUAUACAAGACUUUGGGUGGCGCUGUGCUAAUGUCUCUAGGAUAUACAGGACCCGAGCAUCAAGGAGAUGGCGGAGCAGAUCGCCAAGGACCCGUCCUUCAGCGAGAUGCCCCGUAAAUCUACUGUAUGAUCAAUCAAAACACGUUUUGUCCAAAGUCCAAACUUAAUGGUGUGAUAUUGUGGCAUAUUUACCCUGGAGCUAGCAUAUAUAUGGAGCUGACUUUGUUCCUGGAGGAGCAGACACAGAUGAGGAAUCUGCUACCUCAAAGCAGUUGAUCGACGCCGGGAGGGUGGGUACGUGAUGUCGGAGGCUGCCGGGAGGGUGGUGACGAGCUACCGAAGAGAUGAGUUCUGGCUCUCCUCGAUGCCAGGACGAGGCGCUGUUGCCGAUCGGACGUGGACUCGAUUGAUUUUGAUUUGAAAUAUGACGGGUUGUAAUGUAAAAUGCACUUCAGUUCAAAAUUUCCUCCCCUUGCGAGAGGUAUUCUUGGACGCAGGGAGUAGAAGAUUAGUUAUAGGAUUUUGUUUUAUUUCUGUGCAAUUUUCUUUUUAUUGGAUACUUAUAAAGACAUGGUAAUAUUCUUGCUAUAAUAAAAAUGAU